AGUACAAAUAGAAGGCCACCGGCAUCAGGAUCUGCGGAUAAUUACCCGAAAUAUGUGCGGCAUAAGAAGUAAACUAGAAAUCCCAGAUUUCACUGAAAUGUGUAAGAAAUAUUAUGUGCUGUGCUUCAGUGAGACAGAAACAGACGAUAUAGACAUACCAGACUUGACUGAAAAAAUUCGUUACAUGGGCUUCCAAGUGUUUAUCAAGAAUCAACAUAAUCUUACAAAUCCCCAAUCAGACAGAGUCAUAAUCACAGUAAGUAAUGCUAGUGGGAAUAAGUGUGUACAGAAAAUGUCCAUAGUGAUGCCUGUGUAUGUGUACAAAUUAAUAGAAAUAUACUGAACUAUAAGAAAGACUGCCAUACAAGAGUAGAUAUUUAGUAUGUUUGAUGAUGUAACACAAGCUACGCUAUCCUUGACCUUUCUAUUGAUACCAACUAUCUUCUCCUCUGUGGGGACAUGAAUGCGAAUAACAAAGAAAGAGAAGAUUGGGUUAUGGGUUAACCUUACAAAUAAAAGGGACAUGGAUGAGCAUAUUAGUGGAAUGUUGUGUACUGCCAAAAAACUGGAACUGGCUCAAAUACCAUUGAGAAGAAAAUCAAUGGAUACAUCUAGAUACUGGCGGUUAUGGCACUGCUCUUUUAGAUUUGUGAAAAAACCUUGCUUUUUGUAUCUUAAAUGGCAGAUGCAGGGAAGAUACAUAUGUAGGGAAAAGUACUUCAACUGACAACACUGUGAUUGACUACAUGAUAGGUUCCCCCUUUAUAUUAGGCAGAGCUAAAAAAUUGCAUGUGCAUGACUUUGACGGCCUGUUCUCAGAUAAGCACUGUAUUGUCGAAUUGCUGUUUUGCGGGAACUAUAAAGUUUAUAAGGAGGAACCAUUGACUCAUCAUGACUGCACACAGGACCCUGUUAUAAAAGAUGGGACAGAAAUUGUUAAAUGGCACAAGGGGAAAAAAGAGAGCAGUAUGUAGAAAAUAUACAGCUAAGAAUUUUGAUAAUCUGUUACAUAAAUGAGAUGUUAUGUCCGUGGAUGAAAUAACUGAUAAGACUGUGCAUGUAAAAAAUACAGCAUGGUUUCAUUUUGAAUGUCGAUAUAAAAGACAGGCAUAUCUUAAAGCAAAGAAGAUGCAUAAUAAAUGUAAAAGUGUGGAAAACAGGGAAAACUUAAGGGCUAAAAGUAAAGAAUAUAAAAGAGAAUUGAUUAAGAGCGCUUAUAGAAAGAAAUUUAACAGCGAGCUCAGGAAAAUGAACCCAAAGCUAUACUGGCAUGGGCGUAACCACGCAUUCUUUGGGGGAUCGUCCCCAAUAUACAGUGGAAAAAAUGGUAAAUAUGUCUUCUUUUUAUGAACCCAGUUCAACAGAACUGUCUCUUGUUAUUUCCUUUUUAUUUUCAAUGUAUUUUUGUUUAUUAAGGAAAACACUUGGUUGCUCCCAUGCACUUGGUCGCUGUGUGUGCUUACCUUCUGGUAAAAAGAGACAACGGCGGCAAAAGAGGCAGACGGACAGCUGACUGAUAAGAUGCGGGUUCGAGGCGAGCACUCAAACAACACUCACAUAACAAUAUUGCUGGCAGCAUGUCACGUGUUGUAUUGAAGUUCAUUAUUUCAGUUUUUCCGGGGCAGCCAACCUCCAUAUCACUAGCUGUUGUCCUGAGGUCUCUGUGUCUCUUUGGGUUACUUGCUUCACUAAAACUAACAUUGGUGAUCCUGGAUCAUCGGAAGCAUGAAGAUUGUUAUCACAUGUCUCUGUUAACGCUGGGGUUUCCAGCCAUGGAUUAUGUUUGUUCAGCAAAUAUUAGACUAAUGUGGUUUUUCAUACCUUUGGUUCGAAGCUAGCAGUUGAGCAGAGGUUAAAAGAUCAGGUCCUGUAGAAGUGGCACUAUGAGCUCCAUUAUGUCAUCAUGUGACUUAUAUUGUGAAGUUAAAGACGAAAAGUAUCUACUUUGUGAAAACAGGAGGCUAUUUGUAAUUUUCGAGUUUCUCUGCAGUAGCUCAGUCUUAAGGCCUUGGCUUGGGGACCGGAGGGUGGCCAGUUCAAGUCCAGCAUGGACCAGUCGCUACGGAGGUGGACUGGUAGCUGGAGAGGUGCAAGUUCACCUCUGAGGCACUGCCGAGGUGCCCUUGACUAAGGCACCUAACCCCUAACUGUUACGGUUUUGGGUUUAGUUAGUCAUUUCCUGUUUUAUUUUGUAACACUCACCUCUACUUGUGUAUAUGUACUUUACUUCCUGUCUAUGUUUAGUUUUCUGUGUCACCUGUGUUGCAUCAGUUAAUCAGUCUCUUGUGUAUUUAGUCCAUGUGCCUUCCCUCUGUCACUUGUCAGAUCGUCUGCAUUUGUUCCCCCCAGUUCUGCGUUUUAUCUUCAGUCUUGCAUUUUUCUAGUUCCUCUGUGUUCUUCCUGUGUUUCCCUUUUGUUCUUGUCUUCCCUGUGGAUUUACCGUUGUUGGACUCUUACAUGGACAUCUCAGCUGCCCUUAGUUGUUUUGUGUUCCUCCCCAGCACAGAGAUAACUCCACCAGACCACCCUGGGCAGCAGCAAAAGGAGGAGGAACAGAAGAAUGAAAUGGUGUGGACAUGAAGACAGUGUGCUUUCUCCGGCAGGCCAAACCUUACAGACUGACUGUCUGAGUAAAUAAAGCGAGACCGAUGAGGACUUGGCACUGAUUGCUGCUUUGAGAGAACCAGCCAAGAGAGCAAGCGAUGAUUCAGCAGCCCCAGACGUCUGUAAUCGCCACUUCACUGUCUUCUGCUGCCUCCUUUUCAGCGCAGUGCAGAUCUCUGUUUUCCAAAAAUAUCUAAGUGUUCAUUACGGGGUGCUGCUGCAGGAGACAUGGGAAUUACUUGCGCGCUUUAAAAUCCUUAAAAGAGACGUGCAUUUUACCCUAACUUUCUGGAUUUCUAUCCAUAUUCCAUUACUUUAAAUGACAUUUUUGGAGGGAGCUCUUAAUCUACGUAAAGCUUGUGAUAUGAGCAGUGAGGCGUGGAUACGCGCUUAUUCCAAUUCUCAUCAUCAUCAUCAUCAUCUCAGAUGAUCCCACUAAAUGUAAUCAGUGUUAUAAGUUUAGACUUGUACUGAGGUGUCCUCUGUCCUCUCGAGGAUCAGCCAAAUCUCACAUUAGCUAAACAAUAGCCAGGAGCAGAGGCAGCCUGACAAUGGGAUCCAUCAGGGGGCAGAAAUUUAAGACACUAUGCUAUACAGCUACGUUUCUAUCCAGGUGUCUGACAGGUUUUAAGUAAACGUUUUAAAUGUCACAAAGAAAGAUACUGAAUUACUGAAAAUAUACUGUAGUGAAAUACAAAAGACUUUCAAAAAAUCAAUUACUAUUGUGUAUUUUUGUGUUGUUGUGUCAGCUGGCACUACUGACAUUAUAAGACAAUUCACAUAUACUAAUAAAAUUGAUACUAAUCAAUUUGUUGCUGUUGCAUUUCUUGUUGUUUGAAGAUAAGGCAUGCACUUGAAUGA